GCGAAUAGCCCUCACACAGCAGACGACAUCGACGUCAUCUAAAAACAAAAUCAAUCUUUAUUUCUACCCCUACAAUGGCCCGUCAAUUAGAGCAAAACAUUGAUAAAAAUAUUAAUUUGUUUUCUGGGAAGAAUCUGACCUCUUAAUUUUUUAUGGAAUAUUUUUUUUCUUUCUUUCUUUCUCUUUUAUUUUCGCCUUGUUAUCACGAAGAGCCCGUAUGAGUGCAAGGGAACAAUUUUACACUGGAAUUUUGCCGAUGUUUUUAUUUGCCAUGAGAAUGUAUACUAUAUUGGAAUUUUUGCCAGUAUAAUAAAUAUUUUUUACAAAU
rnacentral:misc_RNA from 1 species